AGGGAGAUUGCGUGAAGAUGGGAAGACACCGGGGCCAGGAAAAGCCAUCCUUCAUGAGCUUGACAGCCCUGGGAGCCGACAGAGGGACUUACUGAACGGGACUAAAGAAAGCGGGACCACAUCUCUAAGACAGUGGAGAGGGGAGAGGAAGCUGCAGCAGGCAGCUAGGCUCAAGCAGCGGCAGACUGAAACCUGGGUGCACUCACUUUCAUCCUGGGUGACCCCCUCCCUGAGCCUCCAUCCUUACAAGAGUAUAAAGAUGGCCACAGCCUCAGAAGGACAAACUGCCAGGUUCAAGUUGGGUAUGCAGAGACCAGGAAGACUUUGGGAGACACCAUCCCACCUGAGGAUAACAGGCAUGCCUGGUGCCUAUGGAAGCCGGAAGAAGCCUUUGGAGCCCCUGGAACUGACAUUACAGAUAAUCGUGAACUGUCAUUUGGGUGGUGAGAACAGAGCCCAGGACCUCUGGAAGAGCAACCAGUGCUCUUAACCACUGAGCCAUCCCUCCAGCCAUCUCUAUUCUCUGCUUGUCUUUUAUGUCUUAGUUCUUCCAUAUUCAAGUCUCUGAACACCCGACUGCUGAUCACUUGUGACAUGUGCUGUGGGCUUGGCCAGUGUGCCUUGAGGCUGUGGCAGCCCUGCUAAGAGGUGAAGUCAGAGGGGCAGGUUCCAGCCACCUACACCCCAAGUCCUACAGUCUCCGGGGUUUGGUCAGCCUGGUGUGCACUGGCUGGCCCUCUCCUUGUGGUUGUGGCUGGUAGCCUGGGAGGAGAGAGAGUGGGGUAAGCCACUCACCCCCACGGCUGCCUUCUGAGGCCAGCCAGCUCGCUGGGCCAUUAACCAGGCAAGCCACGGCAGCAAUAAAA
rnacentral:lncRNA from 1 species